rnacentral:lncRNA from 1 species
AAUAGUUCUCACCUACGAAGCGAGGGGAUCCUCACCCUUAUUCUAGCAAAUAGUCCAUUCCCCAUAUACAUUUUAUUUAAACCUUCUCCUUGCUACUAUUGAGGAAUCCCAAGCAAGUUCUAGUAUUUUCCUCUUCCUUUCUUGGUCUUUGAGGGGAUAAAAUUCAAGAGAAGAUCUCUAGGUUCGUCAAACAUAUUCUUGAAUCUUCGCUUGUGUUUCUACGAUAUCCUCGACAACAUCUCCAUCUACAUGCACGCAGAUCUAGUUGGUAAGAGAGAUUUCUUCAUAUCACUCUCCUUCUCAAUCUGUGUAAGUAGCUAGUUAUUAUAAAGGGUGAUUACGACAUAAGGUAAACUGAUUUGUAGUAGAAUUCUGUUCGUCCGAUAGCUUAAGUCAUAGUUAGUGGAUUAAUUGGUAUACUCAUUUAGAUUUUCUUUCCGUAAGUUGAUGAAAUAGAUGAGACCUAUGUUCCAUAUGUAAUUUAGAAAGGAAUGUGGCAUAGUAAAUUACAAGUUGCAACCCCAUAACUAAACUAAAAUAUACUAGAUCCUGGAUUUUUAAGGGCAUGGUUAGGUAUUUCCGUACUUGUGGCCUUAACUAUAGGGAAAAGAAAAAUUGGUGGAGUUCUGCAGGAAAAUAAUGUCAGCCUAACUGGCCUCAUGAUUCUAGCUGCCUACUUGAUUGGCGAAUUUGCCUUCCAUCCUUGCCAAGUAGGCUAACACGACUAGUUGCUACACCACAUAGUUUGGUGUGAUGGACUUGGCUAGUUGUCCUAGCAUGCAAAAAUCACCACUUGGUUUGGCAUGGCCCCAUAAGAGGUAAUUCUGGCCCAUCCCAUACUUUCCUCUACCCCAAAAGCUAACUUCAAACUAUAAAUAUCUUGGCCUCACCCCGACCCCUGACACACAUCGUUUCUCAAGCUGGUGGUCUAGGGCAGUGAAUGACACCAACAAAGAAAGGAAGAAAUGGCUAAACCCGCCUAUAAUUUUGGUGGCUUAUUGGGAAAUUUGGAAUCACAGAAUGAUUGUGUUUUUAGUGGCUCAAUUCUGAGGGUGUCAAUGGUGCUUCAAUCAGUAGCAUAUGAAGGCACAGUUUGGUGCUUAGCUAGAACUUCAAAGCUCUGAGAGGUCUUGGCUAGGUCGAUGGCCCUUGCGGGUUAAAUGGUCUUGUUUACCUGUUUUUGAGUUUUUUGUAACUUGUGUUAAUGUUUAGGGUGGGGAUUUUUCGGAUUUCCCUCCCUGUGUAUAUCUUCUUCUUCUUAUUAAUAAAAUGAUACGCAGAUCUUCAGUGUGUUCGAGAAAGAAAAACUAUAUAUAUACAUCACCUAAUGAAUGAUGGUUUUUCUCAUGAGGGUAGGGAUGGGGGUUGAGGAUUACGUACCCAUGGUCCAACUACAUCGAUAGGGGUGCUUAAUUAGCUUCAAUCCUGACAAUAUGAAACCUGUACCUUGUUUUGUUUUAAUCUAUCUGGACAUAAUGAAUCCACUAAAAAUCAAUCAAAACAAAUGAGAUUUUAUAGGUUUUUGCCUGGAUGAAUGGAAAGAUGGAUUAACACGCAUCCAAAACUUUUCUCAUUUGUUUUGGACUAUGGUAUGAGUAAAUCAUAUCAUUGCAUUAGGUAUUUAUUGAAAAAUGAUGAAGACACAAACUUCAUUUUUAAUGUAUAUUAUUCAGCAAACUGUAAAUAUCCUUCUCCUAAACAGUAGAUUAUUAUUGAACAUGAAAUCAGCAGUAAAACAGUGCACAGGCUUUCUACAAUGUGUAUCCCUGUGCUGUUUACAAACUUAUGAUAAUGGUUCUUCCAAUAAUCAAGACAAAACAUGAAAGCCAUCACUUAAGCUUCCUUUGGAAUACAUGAACUUUACAAGAAACAGUUUAAUUCCAGUAGGAAAACGUGAAAAAUUUCUGCCAAAUAGAAUAUGCCUUACAUAGGUUGUUAAAUAGCAGUUAUCUCCAACUAAAACUAUUGAUUAUUAAUCAAUAUAUUUCAUAGUGCUAAAUACCAAGCUGUGCAUUCUCCUGUUCUUCUGUGCUGAAUGGCUGAAUAACUGAAUGAUUUGUGAUGAUUAUUUGAGGGUACAAGCUAACGGAUUAAAUAUUAUGAAGUUAGAAAAUAGAUUUAAAACAACAUAAUAAGAAAUUCAUAUAUAGAAAAGUUUUGGAUGCGUGUUAAUCCAUCUUUCCAUUCCUUGAAAUUCUAUUGGAUGAUCAGUGUCUUGCAUUUCUAUAUUCUUCACUACUAGUUCAUUCUUGUUUUUAAGGUAUUUUUUAAUGAGUUAUCCACUCUAAUUUACUUUGGUAUUGUGCUGAAAAGCUAUCUAAUUUAUGUUUUAGGAAUAACCAGAAGAAACACUAGAGGGAAAUAAUUUCUCAAAAGGAAGAUCAUGCCAAAAGGGAAAUCUUUUCAUAUGUCAUUCAUUUGCCUGCACCUCUUCCCCCUUUGAAAGUAACAGUUUAUCUUAGUUUACCAAGCAGAAGGGCAAUGAAUUCAUGUUAAAAAUCAGUUGAAUUCUGUCAGUACUGUUGUAUUUACUUCCCCCCUUGAUAUUAGUAAUUUGUAAUUUGGAUGCAUAUCUCAACAACCCUGUUUCAAUGUCAAUGAAUUGAAUGUAGUUUACUUUUUGUCAGGAUCAUCAGGAGAUUCUGAACCUAUGCUUCCCAAGAUUCAUGGAAAGCGUUCGGACCGCCCAAGGGGAAGGAAUCAUACACCUUGGGCACCACUUCAGGGGCUUCUGAA